UUAUCUUGAUUUUACAGAUGAGAAAUAUCAAGACUCAGAAACAAUAAAGGUUACCGAGAUGAAAUUGACAGAGCCUGGAUUUCGGGUUAUGAUUCUGUUUGGUUUCUUUGAUGCUGUAUUAGACCUGAGCUCUGAUUGAAAAUUCUUCCAUGCUCGCUACAUUCCAAAACUUUAUCUCCACUAUGAAUUUCCAGAUGCCUCACAAGGUCUAAGCUCCAUCUGAAGGCUUUCCCAUGCUUGUCACAUUCACAGGGCUUUCCUCCACUAUGAAUUCUAUGAUGUUGAAUAAGGUGUGAGCUCUGAUUACAAGUCUUUGAACAUUCGUUGCAUUCAUAAAGUUUCCACUGUGAAUUCUUUGAUGCUGAAUAAAUUGUGAGUUACCCCUCAAA